rnacentral:pre_miRNA from 1 species
ACACAAAUCACCUGGGAAUCUUGUUAAAAUGCAGGUUCUGAGUCAGCAGGUCCAGGAUGGGGCCUGGGACCCUGCUACUCAAACAGGCUCCAGGGGAUGUCAGU